CUCCCCCAAGAGUCCACAUCGAGGGGAGGUUUGGCACCUCGAUGUCGGCUCAUCACAUCCUGGGGCUGUAGUAGGUCCCAAGGGUGGGGCUGUUCGCCCAUUAAAGUGGUACGCGAGCUGGGUUAAGAACGUCGUGAGACAGUUCGGUCCCUAUCCGUCGCAGGCGUAGGAAAUUUGAGAAGACCUGUCCUUAGUACGAGAGGACCGGGAUGGACGUACCUCUGGUGUACCAGUUGUCCUGCCAAGGGCAUG
rnacentral:rRNA from 1 species